AGAGGGUGCAAGCGUUAAUCGGAUUUACUGGGCGUAAAGCGCGCGUAGGCGGCUAAUUAAGUCAAAUGUGAAAUCCCCGAGCUUAACUUGGGAAUUGCAUUCAAUACUGGUUAGCUAGAGUGUGGGAGAGGAUGGUAGAAUUCCAGGUGUAGCGGUGAAAUGCGUAGAGAUCUGGAGGAAUACCGAUGGCGAAGGCAGCCAUCUGGCCUAACACUGACGCUGAGGUGCGAAAGCAUGGGGAGCAAACAGGAUUAGAUACCCUGGUAGUCCAUGCCGUAAACGAUGCCUACUAGCUGUUGGGGCCUUUGAGGCUUUAGUGGCGCAGCUAACGCGAUAAGUAGACCGCCUGGGGAGUACGGUCGCAAGACUA
rnacentral:rRNA from 1 species